rnacentral:rRNA from 1 species
GACGAACGCUGGCGGCGUGCUUAACACAUGCAAGUCGAACGGAAAGGCCCUGCUUUUGUGGGGUGCUCGAGUGGCGAACGGGUGAGUAACACGUGAGUAACCUGCCCUUGACUUUGGGAUAACUUCAGGAAACUGGGGCUAAUACCGGAUAGGAUCUCCUGCUGCAUGGUGGGGGUUGGAAAGUUUCGGCGGUUGGGGAUGGACUCGCGGCUUAUCAGCUUGUUGGUGGGGUAGUGGCUUACCAAGGCUUUGACGGGUAGCCGGCCUGAGAGGGUGACCGGCCACAUUGGGACUGAGAUACGGCCCGGACUCCUACGGGAGGAAGCAGUGGGGAAUAUUGCAAAAUGGGAGGAAGCCUGAUGCAGCAACGCCGCGUGCGGGAUGACGGCCUUCGGGUUGUAAACCGCUUUAGCCUGUGACGAAGCGUGAGUGACGGUAAUGGGUAAAGAAGCACCGGCUAACUACGUG